rnacentral:rRNA from 1 species
CUGCCCCUUCAAGGGGAUACCCCGGGGAACUUGGUUAAUCCCCCAUGGUCCCGUGAAUCGCCAUGAUUUGCGGUUAAAGAUUAUUGGGCCAGGGAUGCCCAUCGGUCCCAUUAGUUAGUUGGUAGGUAACGGCUCACCAAGGCAGGGAUGGUUAGGGGCCCUGAGAGGGGGAUCCCCCACCCUGGUACUGAGCCACGGACCAGACUCCUCCGGGAGGCAGCAGUGAGGAAUAUUGGACAAUGGGCGGGAGCCUGAUCCAGCCAUGCCGCGUGCAGGAUGACGGCCCUAUGGGUUGUAAACUGCUUUUAUACGGGAAGAAACGCGCCCACGUGUGGGCGUUUGACGGUACCGUAAGAAUAAGGACCGGCUAACUCCGUGCCAGCAGCCGCGGUAAUACGGAGGGUCCGAGCGUUAUCCGGAAUCAUUGGGUUUAAAGGGUCCGUAGGCGGGCCUGUAAGUCAGGGGUGAAAGUUUGUGGCUCAACCAUAAAAUUGCCUUUGAUACUGCAGGUCUUGAGUCAUGGUGGGGUUGCCGGAACAUGUGGUGUAGCGGUGAAAUGCAUAGAUAUCACAUAGAACACCGAUCGCGAAGGCAGGUGACCAACCAUGUACUGACGCUGAUGGACGAAAGCGUGGGUAGCGAACGGGAUUAGAUACCCCGGUAGUCCACGCCGUAAACGAUGGAUACUAGCUGUGGGGUUUUCGGACUCCGUGGCCAAGCGAAAGUGAUAAGUAUCCCACCUGGGGAGUACGUUCGCAAGAAUGAAACUCAAAGGAAUUGACGGGGGCCCGCACAAGCGGUGGAGCAUGUGGUUUAAUUCGAUGAUACGCGAGGAACCUUACCAGGGCUUAAAUGCAGGCUGCAUGGGGUAGAGAUACCCCUUUCUUCGGACCGCCUGCAAGGUGCUGCAUGGUUGUCGUCAGCUCGUGCCGUGAGGUGUCAGGUUAAGUCCUAUAACGAGCGCAACCCCUACCGUUAGUUGCCAGCAUGUCAAGAUGGGGACUCUAACGGGACUGCCGGUGCAAACCGUGAGGAAGGUGGGGACGACGUCAAAUCAUCACGGCCCUUACGUCCUGGGCUACACACGUGCUACAAUGGCCGGUACAGAGGGAAGCCACCCCGCAAGGGGGCGCGGAUCUACAAAACCGGUCACAGUUCGGAUCGGGGUCUGCAACUCGACCCCGUGAAGCUGGAAUCGCUAGUAAUCGGAUAUCAGCCAUGAUCCGGUGAAUACGUUCCCGGGCCUUGUACACACCGCCCGUAUCUU